rnacentral:pre_miRNA from 11 species
CGGGUGCUCAGUAGUCAGUGUAGAUCCUGUGCGGCUGGCAGCAGCUACAUCUGGCUACUGGGUCUCUG